AUUUGUUUUUUGGCCGCUUCAUUAGAUUUUCUUAGAGCAAUCUCAAUGGCUUUUUUCCAAAAAGCCUUGGAAAGUUGAGGUGUCAAGGUUUUCAUUUAGUAGGGACAAAAGAUGGAUAAAAAAUUACACAAUAACUGAUUUUACCCUUUCUUAUUUUUUGUCCCAAAAGGUGCAGGAAUUGAGAUUUUACACUUUCUCAUUUUCAGAAGUCUUCCACACCCAUUUCAUCGCAACCAAAAUUUUUUGCAUUCUUUUCACAAUUUUGAGAAUAAUCUCCAACCAUGUCAUCUAUAUCUCCAAUUUAUCGCGGGGAACCGGCAACGAAGAGUUGCACAAGUUUCUUUCCUUGCGUUCAAAUUUCGCCGUCGUAGAUGCCAAGUUAGAUGUUAAAUAGUUAGGGCAUAUUUUUCUAUUUUUCUUUCUUGGGAAUAUGCUACACUGAUUUAAUACUCCUAUGGCGGUCCCGUAUGGGUGAUGAAAGGAUCUCCAAUGGACAUAUAGCUCGAUUGCUUCAUUGCGCUCUCAUCCAGGUUUAGCGUUUCUAACCCCUUUUAAUCAAUUCUUCGUAGCAUUUACACAUUGAUUGCUUAGAUUAUUGUUUGUUUGGGCGUUGAGGUUUCCUUAGUUUUAACCCUGCAUCCUAUUUGAUACUCUAUCAUAGAUUUCGGUCUAUUGUUGUUGUGGAAGUUGAAUUGGAUUUGGAUGAUGUGCUAGGGUUAUAUCUUUCAGUAAGUUUGUGUUGACAUAAAUCAAGAUGUCAUACAAAAAUUUUAUCUUUGGUGAAUUUCCUUAGUUUAAAUUGCCUAAGUAAAUUAAUUUUUUGAAUUUUACAGUUUAGUAAAGCUUGUACAAUUUUUUGAAUCAGAACUGUAUACACACAAAGGGUCACUCAUCUUCAAAUUACUUUAGGGCAAACACGCUUAACUUUAGAGUUCUUUCAAUAGAGCUCUCGAAAAUGAAUGUGCACAUUCUUGGCAUGAGUAUUCUAUUCAAUCCAUUUAAUUACUAUUCAACAUCGGAUGGCUUGCACCGGCUCAUCCACGGGAUUUGGCCUAGUACCAGCCCAACUCCGAGGGUAUUCAAAUGUUUCAAAUCUGUUCACAAAAAUCCUUUUAGAAAUAACAGAUGAGUUUGUAUAUAAUAUUAAGUUAUUUUGCUAGUUUGGAAGAUUUUUAAAAUAUGUAACUUUUAUAUGGCUUAUACAUUCUUGCCAUGACUAUACUUGUUUGAGGUUAUUGAACUGUUUUCAUUUGAAGUUUAAUUGUUUAUUUAGUUUUCAGAAAUUUAGGCCAUGACAGAUAAAAUUUACGGAAAGGGGGUGAAUGAUGUGGUGGAUUUAGUAGAUCUAUCUCAUACAAGUAAAAAAUCUCCAUUACUGCCAAAUAAUUCAGCUCCUUGGACCGACAAUAGCCACAUUUGACUCCACAUCAACAUGCAUUUCCAGCCCAAUUUAGUACAAAUUUUAGUGGUCCUUUCUCUCUUAUGCAAUACUAUCCCCAUCGAAAUGAUCUCAUUGUUUACACAGAUAUAUGGAAUUUUAUACCGCCGGGGACCUCACCUUAACUUCCGUUUCAAAAAAUCUAGACAUCACAUGGCAACACAUCAACCUUUCAUGGUAGCCAUCCACCUUUUUAGUCUCAAAUUCCUUCCCAACGCACCAUCUCUAUAAGGCAUGCUCAUACAAACCAACACACAAAUAAGAAUUAGAGUACUGAGGAAGGUGUAGAGUUGAGUACUGUAUUGUAUAACGUGACGACGUAUGCACGGGUUGGAGUUGGCCAGAAAAAAAGAUUAUGGGAGCAUAUAUCCGAGGCGUUUGGAGUAAUUAUGGAAGAAAACCAUGGUGUAAGCAUAUUAAGAAAUAUGAGAACACUGGGAGGGUGUUGGAUAGAAAUUAGAUCACAAUGUACGAAAUGGUCAGUCAUUCUAGUUUAGGCACAAUCACAUUAUCAGAGCGGAUGGAGUGGAUUAGAUUUCAUAAGUUCAUUUUAAAGUAUCUUUAGGUCAUUGUAUUACACAAUACUUUAUUUUGAACCCGCUAACAACUAUGUUUUUACAAGAACCAUAUUGCCACACAACAUAUUAUGAAAAACACAACACUAACUUCAAAUGCAAGGCGUGUUGGAAUAUGCUCAAAGAUCAACCAAAGUGGAUGGAAUUUGGGGGCGGAAAGAAAAGCAAGACAAGCCGAAGGUCAAAUACUUAUGGUAAAGAAGUUAUCGAUGAGGCAAAGAAGGCUGAACAAAAUAACAAAGACCAAUCUCCGGAGACGCCUGUUGACUGUUCUAUAGCGGCAGCACGUCUAAGAAUUAAUUGGUCAACAAAAGCCCCAGUCAAUCAGAAUUACAAGACCCUACUACAAUUGAUCUUGAAUGUCCUAUUGGAAUUAAAAAAGGGCAAGGAAAGUAAUAAGCGAAACAAUCAACGACAACUAAGGAUAAAAAGACACGAAGAUUCCCAAGCAUCGGUUGCGCAAGCGAUUACUACCAGUUUGAUGAAACUUGAUUCUAUAAGUAACGAGAGAUGCUCAAAGUACGUAGAGGAAGAAAGCAGAAUAGAUUUGAAUAUGUCUGAAAGACCUAUAAGGGAGUCAAAGAGAGUGAGAACAUUGGCGAAAGAUUAAUGGUUGCAUAUGCAAAAUUGGAAGAAUUGGACAAGGAGAAUCUGAAUACCAAAUAUAAAAUGAGAUUAUAUACAAUGAGGAAUGAGCAAGUUGAAGACUACACAAGUGCUUACAAUAAAUUGAAAUAUACUCUCCAAUUGAUUGAGGAAACAAGUUGUGUAGAAGCGGAUGUGGCUAAUGCACGUGCUACGCGUAGUUACAGUAAGAAACACCUUUUCAACGACCCAAGUGGGUCAGAAUGUUCUCCCAAAAAAUGAAAAUGUCCUCUUGUUUCUGCAUAUGUGUAUUUGGAUUAUUUUGGGGUUUCAGACUUUGAAUUAUAUUAUCAUAGUUGGAUUAU